CAUAAAUAGACGGUGCAGAAUGUCCGCCCAACCUCGCCGUAUUUGGGUAAGCAGGUGCACACACUCUUGUCCUCUUCCUAAUUUCUUUCCUCCUUUCAAUGCCCUGCUCCUUCUCUGAACUUCUGAUCUUUGCUUGUGUAGAAUUUGUUCUCUACGCCUACAAGGUGUUUGAUGAAAAUCACAGAAGGCUGGCAGGGGAGGAUUGGUCUAUGUAAGCCACGUGAUUUCAUUCUUCAAAAUGUUAGUUCCAGUCAGUCAUAACAAGAUGAUUUCGAGAUUAAUAAGAAUCCCUGAGGUGAAUAAAAGUAUAAAGAAACAAGGAAUAUCCUGUCAAAACAUUAGUUCCAGUCAAUCAUAACAAGAAUCCAUGAAGUAGAUAUUUGCUUCUAUUUAUGGGGCUCUCGACCCUACAGAAUUCUUCAUGAUGAUUUUACCCAUAGAUUAGCAUUUGGUAACUUGAUUUUCUUCCCUGUCGUAUAAGACUAUAUGAGACAUGAAUUGUAUAUUUUAUUUUGUCAUGAGGUUAUUUUUAGGUUUGCUUAUGUUCUCUUUUAUCCUUUUCGAACACGGAUAGGAAAAGAAAACUGAAACAUGUUCACUAAAAUGUGUGCUUUGUAGUCUUUUGUUUUCAUGUAGCGGUGUAUUUGAGUGUACACUUACCUGACUUCAUAUACUACCGCAUCUUUUGUUUAUCGCUAGGCCUGUUGUCAGUAACAAAUGUGCAAAUGGUAUUAACUUCAUACAUUGAGCUAUGCCUGAUAGUUAUUGGUGUCAUUUCCUCCUCCUGAAAUCAUCGUUUUCCUAUUUGUAGGAGCUUUGAUAAGGCUGCUCACCAAUGAGCUGGACGUGUUUUUGUCCUGGGUACUUGCAUGAUGGAAGAAGAAAUUGGGUAUUCCUAAAUGUGCUACUGCAGAUCAAAGGUGAAUUCAUCCCAUUUUCUUACUUCAAUCUCAGGUUAUGUGAGGAGGUGAGGAUAAUAAUAAUUGAAUGAACAUUGUUUGAGAUCCACCUGACUCAUCCCAAGUUUUGCUAGGUUUGCCUCAUGCUGUUUAUAUUUUGUGCUUGUGUGUAAACAGGUUGGCGGCUUAAUUGACCCAGGUUUUGUAACAUAUCAAUGGUGAGCGAUGGCAUAAACGGAUCUGGUCGUUUUAGUUUUGCUAGACCAUGAUUGUUAUUAAGCAUGAAUGUACAGUUAUAUUCUUUUACGGAUGCAGUUUGGCAGUUUUGAUUCCAUUUGAUGUAUUACCUAAAAUACUCUCAUUACCUUGAUCUUUUAAUUCCAUUUGAAGGCAGAUUUGAUUUUGUCUUGGGAGUAACAAGGAAGAAGGGUCAGUUUAUGUUCUGGACUAAUCACAAAAAAGGAUGCCACUGAAUAUAUUUGACCUGAUGUGAGGAAAAGGUCUGAUCACUUCCUAUUCUUUGCUUUCACUUAGUUGUACAGUUCUUUUACGGAUGUAGUUUGGCAGUUUUGUUUCCAUUUUAUGUAUUAACUAAAAUUUGCUCAUUACCUUGACUUUUAAUUCCAUUUGAAGGCAGAUUUGAUUUUGUCUUGGGAGUAACAAGGAAGAAGGGUCAGUUUAUAUUCUGGACUAAUCACAAAAAAGGAUGCCACUGAAAAUAUUUGACCUGAUGUGAGGAAAAGGUCGGAUCACUUCCGAUUCUUUCCUUUCAUUUAGUUGUCAAUUUUUUGGAAUGCUUCUAAAAGAAAUCGUAUUACUGCAAACUGUCACUGUCCGUUGUAAGAGUUUACAUGAUUAGGUGAUAUGACCAGUUUGUUUUAUAGUCUCAGUUUGUUUGUGUAUUAACUUACAUCUGCUAAUUUCUACUGACUUCCGCUUAAUUUGAUUUCUACUGUAUAAGUAAUGGCACUAAGAUACAGUGCAUGCAAAAAUUCUCAUGUUGUUGUAUAAUCAUUGUGGUACUUGUUGUGUUAGUUUGUGUAUCUCUGUUAGUAAGUUGUCGGUCGGCCAUAUUUAUUUGCAUUAGUUCUUCUGAACACAACCUUCCAAUUAGGUGAUGCUUGCUAUUUAGUUGCUUCAGUUCACUUGUGAAAAUGAUUGUGAUUCUAUUCAUUUUCUUUCUUUUGUAG
rnacentral:lncRNA from 1 species